UAAAUUAUCAGCACUGCGUAAUUAUCUUCUAAUAUUGUGCUGUCUUCCAGUCRUUGUGCAGAGCAGUUUGUCUCUCUGAAUUUGGUCCAGCAGCUCGAAAGCAUUGAGGUGUUGCUGCUGCAGUACAAUGCCAAGUUACCUCCAGUUUCUUUUCAGGACAGUUGCAAAGCCUUUCUGUCCUAUGGAGACAGGAAGCUUGCAGUCUGAGCCCUGCUCACCCAAAUACUAUUCUAGAUACAAAAAUUAAACAUCAUUGCGCUGAUGACUGAGCUUGCCAAAGUGCAAAAUGACUCUUAGCACUCUCUUUUCCCCAGAGAAGCUGCCAUUGAGCAGCAGGUCUCAUUGUGCACAUGUGCAGGCUUUUGUAAUCAGCGAAGACUCAAUCCGAGAGUCACGUGGCCCCCAGAGAACCAUUCUCUUGAGUGAAGGACAGUCAAAAAGAUUUCUUAGAGUUAUAAAUCACACUAGAUAAGAGAAUGUGGGAAUUCAGACUGGAGUUCAGAGGGCAGCCAUGCUCCUGAGAAGGAGAGGGAAGAACACACAGAAGCACUCUCUUGGAGAAAGAUGCAAGUGCCCCAGCAAUGAAAGAGUUUACUGGUGCCGGUCAUACAUGAGCUUUGCCUUAUAGCUAUAUGCCAAAGCAGCAUUUAAGCAAAGGUGUGUACAUAUGCUUGGUAAGAUAACUUUAAUUUGUCUUUCUGGAUGUGGAAUUUCGUUUUGAAGGAAACCCAUUAUUUAAAUAUACAUAGUGGUACUCGCUCCUACAGAGCAAAGUAAAGAUAAAAAUAUCCUUUACACUCUUUGAAGUUAACUGAAAUUGAUGCUAUAAUGUGUGCGAGUGCCUUGGGCAGUAGGAUGUUACGUGGUAUUCUCGAGACUUUUUUACAAGGCUGCCUUUUGUCUUUGCUUCGGGUCAUCAGUUGAUUUCCAGCAGGGAACUAUGCCUCUGAAACUCCACAAUAGAGUAAUUUUUGUAUUCUAGAAUGGCAGAUCAACCUAGGCAGAUGGAAAACAAAUAACUUCUAUCGAAUGAAAAAAACACAUGGCUGUGCUUUUGCUCUUGAUGCAGCCUAGCUAGAUCAAGAACAUUCAAGCCAAUGUAUCCCAAGGGAGACAAGCUACAAAGUACUGUUGGUCCUUUUCUAAACUUUAGGUUUGGGAUAUUUAUAAAGACAACAAUAGUAUCUAGUGUUAGAGCAACAUAGUGGUGGCUCACCAAAAAAUGUAGAAAGGGGGUGGUGAUCUGGCUUGCAAAGCCCAUCCGCUCAGGUUUGCAUGCAGAUCUGCAUAUGCCAGUUCGAUGCAGGCACACAUCAGCACUGGUGCUGCGUUAACUUGGGUUGGUGACUCAGGUUUCCAAAACGAUACAGGACAAUUUAUGUCAGCCCUCUUCAAGAAUUCAUCAGUAUGAGCUAUUUUAGUACUUGUUUUGUGGAGGACUGUGGGAAAACCUGAUCAUCUUUCCAGAGCCCUCGUGUGGAAUUUCUUUCAGCUCAAUUUACACGCUCUUCUGACCUCAUUCUCC
rnacentral:lncRNA from 1 species